UGGGGAAUAUUGCACAAUGGGCGAAAGCCUGAUGCAGCGACGCCGCGUGAGGGAUGACGGCCUUCGGGUUGUAAACCUCUUUCAGCAGGGACGAAGCGCAAGUGACGGUACCUGCAGAAGAAGCACCGGCUAACUACGUGCCAGCAGCCGCGGUAAUACGUAGGGUGCAAGCGUUGUCCGGAAUUACUGGGCGUAAAGAGUUCGUAGGCGGUUUGUCGCGUCGUUUGUGAAAACCAGCAGCUCAACUGCUGGCUUGCAGGCGAUACGAGCAGACUUGAGUACGGCAGGGGAGACUGGAAUUCCUGGUGUAGCGGUGAAAUGCGCAGAUAUCAGGAGGAACACCGGUGGCGAAGGCGGGUCUCUGGGCAGUAACUGACGCUGAGGAACGAAAGCGUGGGUAGCGAACAGG
rnacentral:rRNA from 1 species